GACGAACGCUGGCGGCGUGCCUAAUACAUGCAAGUUGAGCGAUGAAGAUUGGUGCUUGCACCAAUUUGAAGAGCAGCGAACGGGUGAGUAACGCGUGGGGAAUCUGCCUUUGAGCGGGGGACAACAUUUGGAAACGAAUGCUAAUACCGCAUAACAACUUUAAACAUAAGUUUUAAGUUUGAAAGAUGCAAUUGCAUCACUCAAAGAUGAUCCCGCGUUGUAUUAGCUAGUUGGUGAGGUAAAGGCUCACCAAGGCGAUGAUACAUAGCCGACCUGAGAGGGUGAUCGGCCACAUUGGGACUGAGACACGGCCCAAACUCCUACGGGAGGCAGCAGUAGGGAAUCUUCGGCAAUGGACGAAAGUCUGACCGAGCAACGCCGCGUGAGGGAAGAAGGUUUUCGGAUCGUAAAACUCGGUUGGUAGAGAAGAACGUUGGUGAGAGUGGAAAGCUCAUCAAGUGACGGUAACUACCCAGAAAGGGACGGCUAACUACGUG
rnacentral:rRNA from 1 species